AACCGCCCUUUCACGGCGGUAACAG
rnacentral:tRNA from 1 species